AAAAAAACACUAAAGUUUAGGUGAAAACAUUGUAUUUUGGGUUAAAAUAACUAGGAACACAAAGACAACAUCACACUGUUGGUUUCACACGGGAUGCAAAUUCCAGUCUCCUGGGUGUAAACCCUGUGUUUUAUGUCCCAUCCAUCAUCCUCGACCAUCACCCCAUAUGGAGUUUCACAAUAGGUCGCUGUUGUGUUCUUUUAUACCUUCGGUGAUCUACUAUGUGAAUAGAUGAAAAAAACCUACUUGUGGGGUUUUUUUUCACUAGUGGGGGUAGUAGGCCCCUAAUGACCCACAUCUAUGGGGCUAUCUAUAGCAACUGAUAAUUAUGUAAUAGCCUGACAACAGUCUAAUUGGCUGAACAACAACUCUGCUCUAACACUGUAAUUUUAUUAUUGAUUUAUUUAGUAAUUUUUUUGAGUAAUCGAUUUAAAAAAAAAAAAAAAAAAUUAACUACAAAUGUCCAUCACAACUUCACAGAUCAUAAUCGUUAUCAAUUAUCAAAACUGUUAUGUAAAUAAUCAUCUUAACUUGUAAACUAGUAAUUGCAAGAACUGUUAAGUUUAUCCGACGAAUGUAGUAUGAGAGUAUAAGAAAGAAUUCCAAUACUCCCAUCCCCAAAUUUAAUUUCAGAACAUCAAUAUUGAGCUGGGAGGAAAUAAUGGGAACUGGUUGUGUUAUUGGGACCUAUAACUCCUAAUAUAA